rnacentral:rRNA from 1 species
GAUGAACGCUGGCGGCGUGCCUAAUACAUGCAAGUCGAGCGAACAGACGAGGAGCUUGCUCCUCUGACGUUAGCGGCGGACGGGUGAGUAACACGUGGAUAACCUACCUAUAAGACUGGGAUAACUUCGGGAAACCGGAGCUAAUACCGGAUAAUAUAUUGAACCGCAUGGUUCAAUAGUGAAAGACGGUUUUGCUGUCACUUAUAGGUGGAUCCGCGCCGCAUUAGCUAGUUGGUAAGGUAACGGCUUACCAAGGCAACGAUGCGUAGCCGACCUGAGAGGGUGAUCGGCCACACUGGAACUGAGACACGGUCCAGACUCCUACGGGAGGCAGCAGUAGGGAAUCUUCCGCAAUGGGCGAAAGCCUGACGGAGCAACGCCGCGUGAGUGAUGAAGGUCUUCGGAUCGUAAAACUCUGUUAUUAGGGAAGAACAAAUGUGUAAGUAAAUAUGCACGUCUUGACGGUACCUAAUCAGAAAGCCACGGCUAACUACGUG